UCGGGAAUAUUGCGCAAUGGAGGAAACUCUGACGCAGUGACGCCGCGUAUGGGAAGAAGGUUUUCGGAUUGUAAACCAUUGUCGUUAGGGAAGAAGAAGUGACAGUACCUAAGGAGGAAGCUCCGGCUAACUAUGUGCC
rnacentral:rRNA from 1 species